rnacentral:rRNA from 1 species
GACAAACAGGCCAAAUUAAAAUUUGUACAGUAAAAAGGGGGUUAAAAAAUAAUAGUAAAAGAAAUUCUAUGUUUCCUAAGAAGGUUAAAUUUGAAUAGGAAGAAGUGAUUUAUUAAUUUCUUAAUUUUGAGGCCCCGAAAUUUCAGGAUAAGACCGGGAUUAGAUACCCCGUUAUUUGAAUUGUAAAUUUUGAUUAAUGGACAAUAGUUUACUUGAGUAUUACGAGUGUGAAUAAAUAAAGAGUAGGAUUAUUUAUUUACUUUUUCUUAAAACUUAAAGAACUUGGCGGUGCCUUAAGUCCUUCCAGGGGAACCUGUCCUGUAAUUGAUAGUCCACAAUUUAACUUUCCUUUUAUUGAAGAACAGUAUGUUCUCAGCUUGUAUACCGUCGUCGUCAGAUUACCUUUAAGAGUAAUGAAGUUAUCGGAAAGAAUAGUGUUGUUGACAUAGCGCAUAAAGCGUUUAUUAAAUAUAACAAUCUCUGGACGUCAGAUCAAGGUGCAGCUAAUGAAAAGGUAGAGAUGGGUUACAGUAAUGAAUUAUUAUACGGAUUUCUUAUUGUAAUAGAAGAAUGAAGGAGGACUUGGAAGUAAUUUUGAGAGUAAGAGAGCUUUAAUGAAUGAUGGUUCUGAGGCGUGC